AUGAACGCUGGCGGCGUGCCUAAUACAUGCAAGUCGAGCGAACAGACGAGGAGCUUGCUCCUCUGACGUUAGCGGCGGACGGGUGAGUAACACGUGGAUAACCUACCUAUAAGACUGGGAUAACUUCGGGAAACCGGAGCUAAUACCGGAUAAUAUAUUGAACCGCAUGGUUCAAUAGUGAAAGACGGUUUUGCUGUCACUUAUAGAUGGAUCCGCGCCGCAUUAGCUAGUUGGUAAGGUAACGGCUUACCAAGGCAACGAUGCGUAGCCGACCUGAGAGGGUGAGCGGCCACACGGGAACUGAGACACGGUCCAGACUCCGACGGGAGGCAGCAGUAGGGAAUCUUCCGCAAUGGGCGAAAGCCUGACGGAGCAACGCCGCGUGAGUGAUGAAGGUCUUCGGAUCGUAAAACUCUGUUAUUAGGGAAGAACAAAUGUGUAAGUAACUAUGCACGUCUUGACGGUACCUAAUCAGAAAGCCACGGCUAACUACGUG
rnacentral:rRNA from 1 species